AUGCGGAUUCACCUCGGUGAUCUGCUCGAAAUCCCCGGCGGGGUUGAUCUGAUUUGGAGCGAGGCGAAGGCGCCGACUUCCAAGCCUUUUGCUCAAACACGCCACAUCUUGUCCGCCAUGUCGGAAACUUCGGGUGAGAUCAAAUCGCUGCUGGAGUCGCUCCUGACGCGGUUCGAGAAGAACCAGCUCGCCGCCGACAAGAACGUGGAGGAGCAGCCCGCCUUCAACCAUCAGGUCUCUAGCGACUUGACCCACCUACGCAAGCAAAUCCACCUGACGCAGUCCAACAUCGAUGAGGUGCGCCAGCUGCACGAGCCGCACAAGCCAUCGGCUCCGCCGUCCCCAUCCCGCCAGCCGCGUACACCACGGGAGGGCGAGCCACAAGCUUCCUCCAUCACGCCACCCGAGCUGCCAUGCGGUUCGGAGAUCCACGGACCGCUUGUCCGCCUUGCCAACAACGGGCCGCCCCUGCUCGCGACGCACCCGUUUAUGCCGCUCCAAGGAACGGCGCACGUCACGCUGCAACAUCAUCACCAAGAGCAGCGCCACGACACGACUGGCAACUACUACGCCGUCAAACCGCCCAAGCACGAUUUCCCCAAGUUCGGUGGCACGGGGCCAUACCUGUGGAUCGAUCGGUGCGAGACCUACUUUGAGUUGUACCGCGUUCCUCCUCACAGUUGGGUGACCACGGACGCGCUCUACAUCGAGGGGCACGCAACACACUGGUCGCAGGCAUUCUGA
rnacentral:rRNA from 1 species